GCCUAGGAAUCUGCCUGGUAGUGGGGGACAACGUUUCGAAAGGAACGCUAAUACCGCAUACGUCCUACGGGAGAAAGCAGGGGACCUUCGGGCCUUGCGCUAUCAGAUGAGCCUAGGUCGGAUUAGCUAGUUGGUGGGGUAAUGGCUCACCAAGGCGACGAUCCGUAACUGGUCUGAGAGGAUGAUCAGUCACACUGGAACUGAGACACGGUCCAGACUCCUACGGGAGGCAGCAGUGGGGAAUAUUGGACAAUGGGCGAAAGCCUGAUCCAGCCAUGCCGCGUGUGUGAAGAAGGUCUUCGGAUUGUAAAGCACUUUAAGUUGGGAGGAAGGGCAUUAACCUAAUACGUUAGUGUUUUGACGUUACCGACAGAAUAAGCACCGGCUAACUCUGUGCCAGCAGCCGCGGUAAUACAGAGGGUGCAAGCGUUAAUCGGAAUUACUGGGCGUAAAGCGCGCGUAGGUGGUUUGUUAAGUUGGAUGUGAAAGCCCCGGGCUCAACCUGGGAACUGCAUCCAAAACUGGCAAGCUAGAG
rnacentral:rRNA from 1 species